UGUUAACGUCAGCAACUAGCAAGCUAGUGUUACGAAUAUAACAUAUGAACAAAGUCCUGUCUCCAACGCGAAUUACACACUACCUGUGGACAGCCUCAAUUCAUCGGGGACAUGGACUCUACAAGGCAUCGGAAGUGUUCCACAGGGAUGUUGGCCCAUUUUGACUCCAAUGCUUCCAAACAGUUGUCAGGUUGGCUGGAAGGCACCUACUACUAGUGAUGCUGCGUUUGAUACCAGAGCUCCGAGGCAUGCGUUGAAAUCUCUAAGCAGUUUACUUCGAAGCAGUGUGCCGAUGCUUGUAUAAUUUUAUCAGAAGCACGUGAUCAAUGACGUCCGAAACUUUGUUUUGUCGAUUAGCCACCUGAUUGGUUUGGUAUUGGUUUCUGUAGAAGACAAAAAGGCUAUCAUAUGCUACAGCGUGUGUGACGUCAUCUAUAAUAAUUUGGCUGUUCUAAUUUCUUUUGAUCAGCAGGUGCCACUAGUGUACACUGUGUUGAUCAAAGCCUCAAGUAAUGAACCGAUUUUGAACAUAAUUGGCUGGAAAUACUCAGUGCUUCAAAAACCUGUUUCCCCAUCACUAUCUACUACCAUACCCCGUUCAAACACACUUAGAUAUUUUGUCUUGCACAUUCACCCUCUGAAUGGCACAUAUACACAAUCCAUGUCUACAUUUUUUCAAGGCUUAAACAUUCUUUAAUCUGUCCCUUCAUCUAUAGAGAUUGAAGUGGAUUUAACAGGUGAAAUCAAUAAGGGAUCAUAUCUUACACAUGGUGGGUCUGUCAUGGAAAGAGAUGUUCCUAAUGUUUUGUACACUGUCUAUUAAGGGAUGAAAGUCUCAAUGAAAGUCAGACUGAAAAGUUCCAUUUUGCAUUCAACAUAAACAAGUUUAAAAUACACCAUAUAAAAAUCACACAUACGUCUCAACUAAAACUGCAUGAACUUGAAACUGCAUUCACUUUCUCAUUAAAAGUGUAUUGGGUGGGGCGGAUAGUUGAUUGGAUGUAAUGAAAAUAAUACAGCCUACACAACAAUGUAACAGAUGUUUUAUGUCUGAAUGCAAUAAUCAACAAUGAAAUCUGUUACUGUCGUUAUUCCAAAUGCAUCUGUGGGUCUUUUCUGCUGACAACAAUAAAUUAAUAUGUCUUUAUUGCACGGUUUGAUCAAAA